rnacentral:rRNA from 1 species
GAUGAACGCUGGCGGCGUGCCUAAUACAUGCAAGUCGAGCGAACAGAUGAGGAGCUUGCUCCUCUGACGUUAGCGGCGGACGGGUGAGUAACACGUGGAUAACCUACCUAUAAGACUGGGAUAACUUCGGGAAACGGGAGCUAAUACCGGAUAAUAUAUUGAACCGCAUGGUUCAAUAGUGAAAGACGGUUUUGCUUUCACUUAUAGAUGGAUCCGCGCCGCAUUAGCUAGUUGGUAAGGUAACGGCUUACCAAGGCAACGAUGCGUAGCCGACCUGAGAGGGUGAUCGGCCACACUGGAACUGAGACACGGUCCAGACUCCUACGGGAGGCAGCAGUAGGGAAUCUUCCGCAAUGGGCGAAAGCCUGACGGAGCAACGCCGCGUGAGUGAUGAAGGUCUUCGGAUCGUAAAACUCUGUUAUUAGGGAAGAACAAAUGUGUAAGUAACUAUGCACGUCUUGACGGUACCUAAUCAGAAAGCCACGGCUAACUACGUG